UGUAUUUCAUGUGAAACAUUAUCCUCAUAGCCAUCUUCUGAGCGAUGAACACGCGUUCAGCCUGGGUGCUCCCACCCCAGAAAAUGAUUCCAUAUGCCAUAAUCGAUUGAAAAUUUGCAAAAUAAACAAUCCUCAAGGUGUCUAUAUCUAUUCUAUUUCUAAUGGCUCUUAGUGUAUAUAUGAUCGUAUGCAGUCUCUUCGUCACUGAUUCACAAUGCAACCCCCAACCAAGAUUGCUCUCAAUAAAUACACCUAAUAAUUUAGUACAAGAUCUUACUUGAACUAUUCCAUUGUCAAAAGUGAUACUCUCCGGAAAUGUUAGAUUUGGGCGAUUAGUUGAAAACAUUAAAACAUUAGUUUUAUUCCCAUUGAGGACUAAACCAUUUUCGAUACACCAUUUUUCAAUUACUGUCAUUGAUGUUUUCAAAGUGUUCAUGACAUCUCCAAUAGUCUGGCCUGAUAUCAAAACAUUAGCGUCAUCAGCAUAUAAAUAUGUUUCUAUAUGUUCUUCUCUAGGUGAUAGAUGUUCAAUUGUUAAAUUAUGUUGUGGUGAAGUCUCAGUUGAAUAGGUAGUAGAUGGAGAAAGUAUAAGUUGAUCUUGAGGAACUAGAACUUUCUGGAAAAUUUCGGUUCUUUCAGAUGAUAGAAUUCGAGUUCCUUCGUGGUCCAAAAAAGUGAUUUGCUUCCUGUUGCUGAGUUUCUCCAGCAAAAUCUCGUGAUCGACAGAGUCGAAAGCUCUCGAAAAGUCCACGAAGAGCCCCGCAGGUACUCGACCUUCCUCAAGAAGAAAAGUUAUCUUUCGUAUGAAUUCAAACAAAGCGGUUUCAGUACUCU